GACAGAGGGUGCAAACGUUGUUCGGAAUUACUGGGCGUAAAGCGCGUGUAGGCUGCUCCGAAAGUCGGAUGUGAAAGCCCUGGGCUCAACCUAGGAAGUGCAUUCGAAACUUCGGAGCUGGAGCCUGGAGAGGAAGGCGGAAUUCUCGGUGUAGAGGUGAAAUUCGUAGAUAUCGAGAGGAACACCGGUGGCGAAGGCGGCCUUCUGGACAGUGACUGACGCUGAGACGCGAAAGCGUGGGGAGCAAACAGG
rnacentral:rRNA from 1 species